GCCAGCGUGGUGUAGUGGUUUGAGUGCCGGAUUGUGAGUCUGGAGACCAGGGUUCAAAUUCCUGCUUGGCC